UAUAAAUACUAUAUUAUAGAUUACUAUAAUUAUUAUUAUUAUAGAUUAGCAUGGCCCCUGCGCAAGGAUGACACGCAAAAUCGUAAAGUGUUCCACAUUUUU